CCUACCAUGCAGUCGGACGAGACCUUCGGGUCUAGUGGCGCACGGGUGCGUAACGCGUGGGAAUCUGCCCUUGGGUUCGGAAUAACAGUUAGAAAUGACUGCUAAUACCGGAUGAUGUCUUCGGACCAAAGAUUUAUCGCCCAAGGAUGAGCCCGCGUAAGAUUAGCUAGUUGGUGAGGUAAUGGCUCACCAAGGCGACGAUCUUUAGCUGGUCUGAGAGGAUGAUCAGCCACACUGGGACUGAGACACGGCCCAGACUCCUACGGGAGGCAGCAGUGGGGAAUAUUGGACAAUGGGCGAAAGCCUGAUCCAGCAAUGCCGCGUGAGUGAUGAAGGCCUUAGGGUUGUAAAGCUCUUUUACCAGGGAUGAUAAUGACAGUACCUGGAGAAUAAGCUCCGGCUAACUCCGUGCCAGCAGCCGCGGUAAUACGGAGGGAGCUAGCGUUGUUCGGAAUUACUGGGCGUAAAGCGUACGUAGGCGGUUAUUCAAGACAGAGGUGAAAGCCCGGGGCUCAACCCCGGAACGGCCUUUGAAACUAGAUAGCUAGAGUCUUGGAGAGGUUAGUGGAAUUCCGAGUGUAGAGGUGAAAUUCGUAGAUAUUCGGAAGAACACCAGUGGCGAAGUCGACUAACUGGACAAGGUACUGACGCUGAGGUACGAAAGCG
rnacentral:rRNA from 1 species